GAGACCUCAGGUCAGGCGGGACUACCCGCUGAAUUUAAGCAUAUCAAUAAGCGGAGGAAAAGAAACUAACAAGGAUUCCCUU
rnacentral:rRNA from 2 species